UAACACGUGAGUAACCUGCCCCUGACUUCGGGAUAAGCCCGGGAAACUGGGUCUAAUACCGGAUACGACUGCCGGACGCAUGUCUGGUGGUGGAAAGUUUUUUCGGUUGGGGAUGGGCUCGCGGCCUAUCAGUUUGUUGGUGAGGUAAUGGCUCACCAAGACGACGACGGGUAGCCGGCCUGA
rnacentral:rRNA from 1 species